rnacentral:rRNA from 1 species
GACGAACGCUGGCGGCGUGCUUAACACAUGCAAGUCGAACGGAAAGGCCCUGCUUUUGUGGGGUGCUCGAGUGGCGAACGGGUGAGUAACACGUGAGUAACCUGCCCUUGACUUUGGGAUAACUUCAGGAAACUGGGGCUAAUACCGGAUAGGAGCUCCUGCUGCAUGGUGGGGGUUGGAAAGUUUCGGCGGUUGGGGAUGGACUCGCGGCUUAUCAGCUUGUUGGUGGGGUAGUGGCUUACCAAGGCUUUGACGGGUAGCCGGCCUGAGAGGGUGACCGGCCACAUUGGGACUGAGAUACGGCCCAGACUCCUACGGGAGGCAGCAGUGGGAAUAUUGCACAAUGGGCGGAAGCCUGAUGCAGCAACGCCGCGUGCGGGAUGACGGCCUUCAGGUUGUAAACCGCUUUCGCCUGUGACGAAGCGUGAGUGACGGUAAUGGGUAAAGAAGCACCGGCUAACUACGUG